rnacentral:rRNA from 1 species
CUUGCUCUCGGGUGACGAGUGGCGGACGGGUGAGUAAUGUCUGGGAAACUGCCUGAUGGAGGGGGAUAACUACUGGAAACGGUAGCUAAUACCGCAUAACGUCGCAAGACCAAAGAGGGGGACCUUCGGGCCUCUUGCCAUCAGAUGUGCCCAGAUGGGAUUAGCUAGUAGGUGGGGUAACGGCUCACCUAGGCGACGAUCCCUAGCUGGUCUGAGAGGAUGACCAGCCACACUGGAACUGAGACACGGUCCAGACUCCUACGGGAGGCAGCAGUGGGGAAUAUUGCACAAUGGGCGCAAGCCUGAUGCAGCCAUGCCGCGUGUAUGAAGAAGGCCUUCGGGUUGUAAAGUACUUUCAGCGGGGAGGAAGGUGUUGUGGUUAAUAACCGCAGCAAUUGACGUUACCCGCAGAAGAAGCACCGGCUAACUCCGUGCCAGCAGCCGCGGUAAUACGGAGGGUGCAAGCGUUAAUCGGAAUUACUGGGCGUAAAGCGCACGCAGGCGGUCUGUCAAGUCGGAUGUG